AUCUAUCUGAUGAGUCCUAAAUAAAACGAAACGCACGUCAUGGAU
rfam:Schistosoma haematobium scaffold811_49, whole genome shotgun sequence.